GAUGAAGAACGUAGCGAAAUGCGAUAAGUAAUGUGAAUUGCAGAAUUCAGUGAAUCAUCGAAUCUUUGAACGCACAUUGCGCCCGUCAGUAUUCUGGCGGGCAUGCCUGUUCGAGCGUCAUUACGCCCCUCAAGUCCCCUGUGGACUUGGUGUUGGGGAUCGGCGAGGCUGGUUUUCCAGCACAGCCGUCCCUUAAAUUAAUUGGCGGUCUCGCCGUGGCCCUCCUCUGCGCAGUAGUAAAACACUCGCAACAGGAGCCCGGCGCGGUCCACUGCCGUAAAACCCCCCAACUUUUUAUAGUUGACCUCGAAUCAGGUAGGACAACCCGCUGAACUUAAGCAUAUCAAUAAGCGGAGGA
rnacentral:misc_RNA from 1 species